rnacentral:rRNA from 1 species
UACGUAGGGCGCAAGCGUUGUCCGGAAUUAUUGGGCGUAAAGAGCUCGUAGGCGGUCUGUCGCGUCGGAUGUGAAAACCCAGGGCUCAACCCUGGGCCUGCAUUCGAUACGGGCAGACUAGAGUACGGCAGGGGAGACUGGAAUUCCUGGUGUAGCGGUGAAAUGCGCAGAUAUCAGGAGGAACACCGGUGGCGAAGGCGGUUCUCUGGGCAUUACCUGACGCUGAGGAGCGAAAGUGUGGGGAGCGAACAGG